rnacentral:rRNA from 1 species
AGAGUUUGAUCCUGGCUCAGAACGAACGCUGGCGGCGCGUUUUAAGCAUGCAAGUCGAGCGGCAAGGGUCUUCGGGCCCCUAGAGCGGCGGACGGGUGAGUAACACGUGGACAAUCUGCCCCCCGGCCGGGGAUAGCCCAGGGAAACCUGGAUUAAUACCGGAUGAGACGGGACCCGCGGAGGCGGGAUCCGGGAAAGGCGCUGCGGCGCCGCCGGGGGAUGAGUCUGCGUCCCAUUAGCUUGACGGCGGGGUAACGGCCCACCGUGGCGACGAUGGGUAGCCGGCCUGAGAGGGUGGACGGCCACAUUGGAACUGAGACACGGUCCAGACUCCUACGGGAGGCAGCAGCUAAGAAUCUUCCGCAAUGGGCGAAAGCCUGACGGAGCGACGCCGCGUGAACGAAGAAGGCCGUGAGGUUGUAAAGUUCUUUUCGGGAGGGGGAACAACCGUGGCAGGGAAUGGCCGCGGGAUGACGUGAAUCCCGGAAUAAGCCCCGGCUAACUACGUGCCAGCAGCCGCGGUAACACGUAGGGGGCGAGCGUUGUUCGGAAUCAUUGGGCGUAAAGGGCGUGCAGGCGGUCCUGCAAGUCCGGCGUGAAAGACCCCGGCCCAACCGGGGGGGCGCGCUGGAAACUGCAGGGCUUGAGUACAGGAGGGGAUG